AUACGGAGGGUGCGAGCGUUAAUCGGAAUUACUGGGCGUAAAGCGCGCGUAGGCGGCUUUGUAAGUCGGAUGUGAAAGCCCUGGGCUUAACCUGGGAAUUGCACUCGAUACUGCAGAGCUAGAGUAUGGUAGAGGGAAGUGGAAUUUCCGGUGUAGCGGUGAAAUGCGUAGAUAUCGGAAGGAACACCAGUGGCGAAGGCGACUUCCUGGGCCAAUACUGACGCUGAGGUGCGAAAGCGUGGGGAGCAAACAGGAUUAGAAACCCGGGUAGUCC
rnacentral:rRNA from 1 species